CGGCUGUAGACUGCGCUCUGUGCAGAGCUCUGGUUUCAGUAUCAGAUACUUUGGGCAUCAAGUGACAGAGACAUGACUUAAGUCAACACAGCUGGUUCUAAGGCUGCAAAGACAGGCUGAUGAACAAACGGCAUUCGUCUCCAUCUGAUGAAACCAUGUUCCGCAUGGAGCAUCUGGGACUCUAUGAGGAGCGCCCGCCACGUUUUGUCAUCAGCCGACUGGCUGGAAUCGACCACCUUCUCCAGGCUCAGACUGAACUAUUAAAACGAGAGGUUCCUCUCCUAGAUGCCCUAGACGCUGCUAGUGCAGACCCAUUGUUUAAUAAAGGCUUUUUUGAGUAAUCUUA